GUGAGCGGUACGCAGCUCUCGCGAAAACGAUAACGAAAAAUGAAGUUAGCUGAGACACGGUUCGACAAACGAUAAGUUUCAUAAUAGUUCCGCGAGACAGCGCUGCUUUCUAUGCGCUGUCACCAAGGCAAACUUUUUCCUUGCGAAAUAAUGGUCAGCGGUAUUAUUUCGCACGGAGGCUCGCGAAAUUUUGACAGGUUGCAAUGAAAAAAUAUAAGAAAACACAAGAUUGGCAAUUUUUUGUAUUUUUUUCAUCGCAACCUGUCAAAAUUUCGUGGUUUAGAAAUUCAAUAUUUCGAAUUUGAAUGCACACCCAAACAAAGCAAAUCAGCUCAACUAAUCUUGUCUCAAUAUCCUGGAUCUGGCAAUCAGCCAACCAACAUUAAAUCGAUACAACCGCAGCAGUACCAACUACUCCAAAUCCAGCAACAGCCCCUCAAAAAAGGACCACAUAGCAAUUACUGCUCAAACGAACAACAGGAGUUUACGAAUGAUGGACACAUCGGAAAACAUUUCAUCGGCACAUUCUGCCUUAAAACAUGUCUGCCGCUAUUUUUGAAAAUAUCACUGCCUACACAGUGCUCGUGAUUCCAUUCCAGCAGCAGCAAGCAAUCACUAUUCGAGUGCUUAUCGCCAACAUUUCACAGCAAGCUCAGCAGCAGAACCACCUUCAACCACAACAUCAGAAAAUUAAGAUUUCUUCCAGACCAUGACCAUCAUCCUAAAGGUCGGUAGCAAUAACGUUCAACCGACGGUACAACCUGGUCAGCAACCGCAAUUAGUGCAAUAGAUCCAACCCAAAUGUAGAUUUACCAACUGCAAAAAAGAUAGCAACAGCACAUUCAAACACAGUAGCAGCAGCAUACUAUACUGUACCAUGCGGUGUGCAGGAGGACUUUUUUAUUCAGUUGGUGCGGCAAGGUGAGACAUUUUUAUUACCUUUUUUAUUUCGAAAGGAUCAGUACCGUGUUUAGUACAUUGUAAUAUCGAACACCAACAACAUAAUAUCAUGGUAAUCACCCAGCAAGAGAACGCGGUGAUAAUGGGCCAACAGAAAACACAACAUCAAGAUGCUCGGAAAGGACUUUCUCUUUCGAACAAACAUAAUGGCACGUCAUCUUCAAUCGGCUAACUGUUUGGAAUAAGCGCUCAUCAUCGGUUUCAUGGCAGGGAAGUGAGCAGGCAAAAGAAGGCAUCGUUUUUUCCGCAAGGUCGCUCUGGUCAAAAUUUCAGCGAAUUGCAAGGAAUAAACCACCCGAGGGACAGUACCCGUGCUGAUUCAGGACGAUUUCCCAUACUUUGUACCUUGCUAUUGAAUUUUAAUACCCGAUCGAAACGAUGGCAAGCGCUGCCGAUAACUGGGUCAAAAAGACGACGGAUCAAGAAAUUUCUGCACUCGGUUAGCGAACUGAGUACAUAUCAUCAAGGAUAAGGAUUCAGAGCCGGCGGCUGGCAGUCCAGAGAAAGAGAAUGCGGAAAAACCUAGUCCACCGGCAGUAGAACCAAAGCUGCACCUGAUGUUUGGAGUUCGGUAGCUACAGAAAUUCUGACUCUAGCAGCUCCUGAAGAAAAACAAGCUGCAAGAGAAAAUGGAGAAACACCUUCCUCCGCGGAAGAUGCAGAGGCAUUCAAGUAAGUCGAAAUCUGCAGAAAAUUUUGAU